GUGGGGAAUUUUGGACAAUGGGCGCAAGCCUGAUCCAGCAAUGCCGCGUGCAGGAAGAAGGCCUUCGGGUUGUAAACUGCUUUUGUACGGAACGAAAAGGCUCUGGCUAAUACCUGGAGCUCAUGACGGUACCGUAAGAAUAAGCACCGGCUAACUACGUGCCAGCAGCCGCGGUAAUACGUAGGGUGCGAGCGUUAAUCGGAAUUACUGGGCGUAAAGCGUGCGCAGGCGGUGCUGUAAGACAGGCGUGAAAUCCCCGGGCUCAACCUGGGAAUUGCGCUUGUGACUGCAGCGCUGGAGUUCGGCAGAGGGGGAUGGAAUUCCGCGUGUAGCAGUGAAAUGCGUAGAUAUGCGGAGGAACACCGAUGGCGAAGGCAAUCCCCUGGGCCUGCACUGACGCUCAUGCACGAAAGCGUGGGGAGCAAACAGGAUUAGAAACCCCUGUAGUCC
rnacentral:rRNA from 1 species